GUCUAUGGCCAUGCCACUCUGAACAAGCCCAGUCCUACCUGAUCUCGGAAGCUAAGCAGGGUCAGGCCUGGUUAGUACUUGGAUGGGAGACCACCUAAGAAGACUAAGUGAUAUAGGUG
rnacentral:rRNA from 1 species